UGCAAGUCGAACGGUGAAGCAGAGCUUGCUCUGUGGAUCAGUGGCGAACGGGUGAGUAACACGUGAGCAACCUGCCCCUGACUCUGGGAUAAGCGCUGGAAACGGCGUCUAAUACUGGAUACGAGCAACGGCCGCAUGGCCAGUUGUUGGAAAGAUUUUUUGGUUGGGGAUGGGCUCGCGGCCUAUCAGCUUGUUGGUGAGGUAAUGGCUCACCAAGGCGUCGACGGGUAGCCGGCCUGAGAGGGUGACCGGCCACACUGGGACUGAGACACGGCCCAGACUCCUACGGGAGGCAGCAGUGGGGAAUAUUGCACAAUGGGCGGAAGCCUGAUGCAGCAACGCCGCGUGAGGGAUGACGGCCUUCGGGUUGUAAACCUCUUUUAGCAGGGAAGAAGCGAAAGUGACGGUACCUGCAGAAAAAGCGCCGGCUAACUACGUGCCAGCAGCCGCGGUAAUACGUAGGGCGCAAGCGUUAUCCGGAAUUAUUGGGCGUAAAGAGCUCGUAGGCGGUUUGUCGCGUCUGCUGUGAAAUCUGGGGGCUCAACCCCCAGCCUGCAGUGGGUACGGGCAGACUAGAGUGCGGUAGGGGAGAUUGGAAUUCCUGGUGUAGCGGUGGAAUGCGCAGAUAUCAGGAGGAACACCGAUGGCGAAGGCAGAUCUCUGGGCCGUAACUGACGCUGAGGAGCG
rnacentral:rRNA from 1 species